GCUGUUUUACUUGCACGCACACAUCUAGAAACAAAUUAAUGCUCUUGAAUAUUUAUUUUUUGAGCCCUUGGAUUUACUUUAAGAGGAAGAGUUUCCAACUGUUUGGAAUGACUUCCAGGAUUUGCAUUUUUUCCCGAAAGCCGAAUAUACUGGGUACAUUAAAACAAAACAAAGCAACUAUGGUUGCCCCCCAUCACUUAAUAAGACUUUUCCAUCUUUUCAAGAUUUCCCAAAAUGUAUUGCAUAUGUUUAAGUAAUGCAAAUAAAUUUUGUAGUAUUUCUAAAAUAAAACAAGGAUGUUUGGCUAAGGAACGGUCCCUAUGCAGUGUUUUAAUAAAAGAGAAAUAUACAGACACAUUUCCUUCUAAAUAUAGUUUAAGUAUACUUUGGCCAAAACACAAAGACUUUUGUUCCACACGUUUAAAUUCUUUCAUUCAAUAUUCAAAAGCUGUAAACCCAAAUAAACGAAUUGAGUGAUUAAUUGGCUUGGCACAAAUCUAAGGGUAGCAUUAAAUAAGUUACUGUGGGCAUUAAUGUGUACCCAAGUUUUUGUGUAGG
ensembl:lncRNA novel transcript